UCUAAUAUGGCAGAAUAGUGCAAUGAGUUUAAGCUUCAUAUAUAAAGAUUUUUCUUUUUUUAGAA
rnacentral:tRNA from 2 species